CCCUUCCUUUCUCCCCUUUCGCCAGGUCACGUCUCCAUCUAGGUCACUGCAAUCUAGUCUUGCUACUUGCUCAUUCAUGGCUUGUCCAUGGACUACAACACCUCAUUAGUAGUCGCUAAGGGCAUGUGGUAGAGCAGUCUGAUAGAAAAGGAUCCAGCGGAUCAGAUGAUCAUUACGGGACCAGGUGGGGGACCUUCCUCUCUCUCUCUCUCUCUCUCUCUCUCUCUCUCUAUUAGCAAUUGCCUACGUCUUCAUGUGCGUAUCAGGAAAAGGUGGCUAGCCCAUCCUGUUUUGCUCGCUUUGUUGCUCAUGGAUGUAGGCGGUAUAGAAACAUCCAACUCCUAGGCAUGGGUGCAGCUGUGGAACGAUUGAGAGCUCACUCCAAGUUCUACUGACGCCUUUGUUGGGAGUAAAUACAAAGCUACUGGCCCUCGACCUUAAAAGCUGCGGCUCAACUCCAUAAUCCCAGGAAUGCAGAGCUGGGUGGUAAGAAACAAAGAGCAGCGGUAGGGCACGCACCAUCAGAUGAGAGCCAUACCCUCGCCGCCUUCAUCAUCUAUCUAUCUAUCUAUCCCUCGCACUUCAGAGCCCAAAGCCCCACCAUGUGCCCAGCCGGCCACCUUCACGUGCCUGCACGCGUCUCCCCGGCGCCCUGCCCCAUAUUUUAACACCCCCUACCCCCGCCAAAAUGAAGCAACCUAGGAAUUCCAUCCCCGGCACCCCAACUCAGUUGACGGGAUGAUGAUUGUGUUGUUAAUAGUGUCUAUCGUCACCUUGUUUUUCUCUGCUGUCAUUACCGAGUUGUGUGUGUAUGAGACCGGCACACAUGAGAUUCCCUGCUGCCUGGCAUUCUGCUCUCCCUCAAGCCCACAUGGUGGGCUUCUCGGGAGACGGGCAGAUCGGUCCGGUGGUACUCUUGACCGGUUGGAUGCAUUGCGUUAAGCCUCGCAUGAAGCUGGCACUUGCCAUCGGUUCCCUGUCAUGUUGGCGUUCCUGGAGCAGGAGUGGGCUGUCCGCAGGUGUAUCGGUUCCCCAACUCCAGCAUAACCCGGAGCGAAGGAUGUAUCAGGCUGGCGAUGAGGAUUACAGAGCAAGUCCUUCGUUGAACCCUUGGUUCGUUAGGUGGGGAAGCUGUCAGUGGAACCAGUAGAAGGUGAUCAAACGCAAGAAGACAAGACAGUGGAGAUCUGAGCAGCCUUUUAAUGAACGAGUUGGGAAUCAUGUGCAUGGCGGUUCUCCGGGGAUCAAUCCUUGUGCACGACCAUUAGUACCUUCAACCUCUGCAUUAUUAACUCUGCUUUUGCUUCUCUUCAGCUUAAUUUUCUGCAUUUCAUCCAUCGCAUGUGACUGUGGCAGCACCAGAUCAUUACAGCCAAUUCCAUUAUAGGAGAAAGACGAGACGGAUCAUGGAGACAACCCCCCCCACAGUCAUUCUUUGCAACUCAUCUCCUUCCCUUUAAGCGCAAGUAAGCAGUAAUCAAUUGCAGUGUCACAGAAGACAGUCAAGUUUACCUUGAUAGAUGAAUCUACCUUGUUAUCUUCAUCAGAUUUUUAGAUGGGAAUUCAGUUUGACCUUGAGGUGGGAGCAGGCUACUUUUCCUGCACUUUGUGAGUCAAAAGUUGAGCUCCAAAAUAAAUGUUAGGUUGUCACCUAACAUUGAUGCAGGAGGCCAUUGCCCUGAUCACAUGGAGUCCAUGGCCACCUCAAUCAUACACCAAGGGAGUUUCUUCAACAUUCCCUGCAUCAACUCUCAUCACUCCCUGCCCAAGUUUUACCCAGAGGAACUCGUUUUACUGAUUGUUCAACUGCUCAGAUCGUGAUAAGCUCUAUGCACUGUUAAUAUAUGAUGAUGCAACUACUGUUCCUCGCGAAGCCUUCUCUGUCAGAGACUUAGGUGAUGGUUUGAUCAGCCUAGUGAAAUGUAAAUUAACCUUCAACCAUCACAUCGCCUGUCUCAUGUGGUGGAGCCAACUUCAAUGCACCUUCCAAGAAGGAUGUCAUUCCCUUGCUCACCUGACAUGAAGUAGUAUAUCGAUUUAAGCAAUGUAAUUUAGCUUGAUUGCAGGCACAAUCAUAAUGCUUUUGAUGGAAGGAAGUGCAUUGUUUUUCCCCAUCAUUCACCAGCACCAUGGAAUCUCUGAAGCCUUCAUCUUCGGUUCUCAAUACGCAAGACUUGUUUAUGGAGAUAAAGAGGAACAAGAUGGUCGCUUAAUCUUAACACAAGUCUUUGAGAAGCUUAAUGUUGAGGUCAAUACCUUUGUUUCCAGACCAAAACCAUUGGCAAAAGUUCAAUGAUUGUUCCUUC